rnacentral:rRNA from 1 species
UUAAGCGACUAAGCGUACACGGUGGAUGCCCUGGCAGUCAGAGGCGAUGAAGGACGUGCUAAUCUGCGAUAAGCGUCGGUAAGGUGAUAUGAACCGUUAUAACCGGCGAUUUCCGAAUGGGGAAACCCAGUGUGUUUCGACACACUAUCAUUAACUGAAUCCAUAGGUUAAUGAGGCGAACCGGGGGAACUGAAACAUCUAAGUACCCCGAGGAAAAGAAAUCAACCGAGAUUCCCCCAGUAGCGGCGAGCGAACGGGGAGCAGCCCAGAGCCUGAAUCAGUGUGUGUGUUAGUGGAAGCGUCUGGAAAGGCGCGCGAUACAGGGUGACAGCCCCGUACACAAAAAUGCACAUGCUGUGAGCUCGAUGAGUAGGGCGGGACACGUGGUAUCCUGUCUGAAUAUGGGGGGACCAUCCUCCAAGGCUAAAUACUCCUGACUGACCGAUAGUGAACCAGUACCGUGAGGGAAAGGCGAAAAGAACCCCGGCGAGGGGAGUGAAAAAGAACCUGAAACCGUGUACGUACAAGCAGUGGGAGCACGCUUAGGCGUGUGACUGCGUACCUUUUGUAUAAUGGGUCAGCGACUUAUAUUCUGUAGCAAGGUUAACCGAAUAGGGGAGCCGAAGGGAAACCGAGUCUUAACUGGGCGUUAAGUUGCAGGGUAUAGACCCGAAACCCGGUGAUCUAGCCAUGGGCAGGUUGAAGGUUGGGUAACACUAACUGGAGGACCGAACCGACUAAUGUUGAAAAAUUAGCGGAUGACUUGUGGCUGGGGGUGAAAGGCCAAUCAAACCGGGAGAUAGCUGGUUCUCCCCGAAAGCUAUUUAGGUAGCGCCUCGUGAAUUCAUCUCCGGGGGUAGAGCACUGUUUCGGCAAGGGGGUCAUCCCGACUUACCAACCCGAUGCAAACUGCGAAUACCGGAGAAUGUUAUCACGGGAGACACACGGCGGGUGCUAACGUCCGUCGUGAAGAGGGAAACAACCCAGACCGCCAGCUAAGGUCCCAAAGUCAUGGUUAAGUGGGAAACGAUGUGGGAAGGCCCAGACAGCCAGGAUGUUGGCUUAGAAGCAGCCAUCAUUUAAAGAAAGCGUAAUAGCUCACUGGUCGAGUCGGCCUGCGCGGAAGAUGUAACGGGGCUAAACCAUGCACCGAAGCUGCGGCAGCGACACUAUGUGUUGUUGGGUAGGGGAGCGUUCUGUAAGCCUGUGAAGGUGUACUGUGAGGUAUGCUGGAGGUAUCAGAAGUGCGAAUGCUGACAUAAGUAACGAUAAAGCGGGUGAAAAGCCCGCUCGCCGGAAGACCAAGGGUUCCUGUCCAACGUUAAUCGGGGCAGGGUGAGUCGACCCCUAAGGCGAGGCCGAAAGGCGUAGUCGAUGGGAAACAGGUUAAUAUUCCUGUACUUGGUGUUACUGCGAAGGGGGGACGGAGAAGGCUAUGUUGGCCGGGCGACGGUUGUCCCGGUUUAAGCGUGUAGGCUGGUUUUCCAGGCAAAUCCGGAAAAUCAAGGCUGAGGCGUGAUGACGAGGCACUACGGUGCUGAAGCAACAAAUGCCCUGCUUCCAGGAAAAGCCUCUAAGCAUCAGGUAACAUCAAAUCGUACCCCAAACCGACACAGGUGGUCAGGUAGAGAAUACCAAGGCGCUUGAGAGAACUCGGGUGAAGGAACUAGGCAAAAUGGUGCCGUAACUUCGGGAGAAGGCACGCUGAUAUGUAGGUGAAGUCCCUCGCGGAUGGAGCUGAAAUCAGUCGAAGAUACCAGCUGGCUGCAACUGUUUAUUAAAAACACAGCACUGUGCAAACACGAAAGUGGACGUAUACGGUGUGACGCCUGCCCGGUGCCGGAAGGUUAAUUGAUGGGGUUAGCCGCAAGGCGAAGCUCUUGAUCGAAGCCCCGGUAAACGGCGGCCGUAACUAUAACGGUCCUAAGGUAGCGAAAUUCCUUGUCGGGUAAGUUCCGACCUGCACGAAUGGCGUAAUGAUGGCCAGGCUGUCUCCACCCGAGACUCAGUGAAAUUGAACUCGCUGUGAAGAUGCAGUGUACCCGCGGCAAGACGGAAAGACCCCGUGAACCUUUACUAUAGCUUGACACUGAACAUUGAGCCUUGAUGUGUAGGAUAGGUGGGAGGCUUUGAAGUGUGGACGCCAGUCUGCAUGGAGCCGACCUUGAAAUACCACCCUUUAAUGUUUGAUGUUCUAACGUUGACCCGUAAUCCGGGUUGCGGACAGUGUCUGGUGGGUAGUUUGACUGGGGCGGUCUCCUCCUAAAGAGUAACGGAGGAGCACGAAGGUUGGCUAAUCCUGGUCGGACAUCAGGAGGUUAGUGCAAUGGCAUAAGCCAGCUUGACUGCGAGCGUGACGGCGCGAGCAGGUGCGAAAGCAGGUCAUAGUGAUCCGGUGGUUCUGAAUGGAAGGGCCAUCGCUCAACGGAUAAAAGGUACUCCGGGGAUAACAGGCUGAUACCGCCCAAGAGUUCAUAUCGACGGCGGUGUUUGGCACCUCGAUGUCGGCUCAUCACAUCCUGGGGCUGAAGUAGGUCCCAAGGGUAUGGCUGUUCGCCAUUUAAAGUGGUACGCGAGCUGGGUUUAGAACGUCGUGAGACAGUUCGGUCCCUAUCUGCCGUGGGCGCUGGAGAACUGAGGGGGGCUGCUCCUAGUACGAGAGGACCGGAGUGGACGCAUCACUGGUGUUCGGGUUGUCAUGCCAAUGGCACUGCCCGGUAGCUAAAUGCGGAAGAGAUAAGUGCUGAAAGCAUCUAAGCACGAAACUUGCCCCGAGAUGAGUUCUCCCUGACCCUUUAAGGGUCCUGAAGGAACGUUGAAGACGACGACGUUGAUAGGCCGGGUGUGUAAGCGCAGCGAUGCGUUGAGCUAACCGGUACUAAUGAACCGUGAGGCUUAACCUU